GGGACUAUAGGCACAGGCCACCACGCCCAGCUAAUUUUUGUAUUUUUAGUAGAGAUGGGAUUUCGCCAUGUUGGCCAGGCUGGUCUCGAACUCCUGACCUCAAGUGAUCCGCCCACCUCAGCCUCCCAAAAUGCUGGGAUUACAGGCAUGAACUGCUGUACCCGGCCUGGUUGUUGCAUUUUAAUGUACUGAGCCAAGCACCAGGCUCCAGGGACACUGCUACUAGGUGGCCUGUCCUUGGCUCUGAUGCAGGCGCUUCCAGGAAGAAUGGGCUGCAGCUCUGUGCAGCCUGCCUGUGCUGGGCCAAUGUCAGCUCCCCUUGCUCGAACAGGAUUGGCCAGAACACGCCCUGUGCCUGCGAGCAGCCUUGAAUGCCACUGGGGAUUUGAGGUUUAGGCGUCCCGUUCCUUGAGCAGGAACCUCUGCAGAAAGGCAAUUAGAAGAACAAAGUGCCCUCUCCCUGACGGUCUGUCUCCCUCACACCAAAAAGGAAGGUGAAGCUUCCUUUUUAAGGAGACCCCUUUUUAAGAACCACGGGGUAGCUGUGGUGGUUCACGUCUAUAAUCCCAGUGCUUUAGGAGACCACAGUGGGAGGAUCACUUGAGCCCAGGAGUUUGGAACCAGCCUUGGCAACAGGGGUUGGAGGCUGCAGUGAGCUAUGAUCAUGCCACUGCACUCCACCCUGGGCAACAUAGUGAGACCCCAUCUCUACAAAUGAUAUAAAAGGCACCUGGGGGUGGUGGUGCGUGCCUGUGGUCCCAGCUAUUCAGAAGCCUGAGGCAGGAGGAUCGCUUGAAUCCAGGAGUUCAAAGCUGCAGUGAACUGUGAUUGUGCCAUUGCACUCCAGCCUGGGCACCAGAGCGAGACCCUGUCUCUUAAAAAAAAAGAAGAAGAAGAAACAUGUAUGAGAUAGAGCGCUGCAAAUCUGGUUCCAACUUUCUCUGUGAUUUUGCUGGAAUUUGUUCAACACUGAGCUCACAGACAGCAGUGAACCAAAACUUGUUUUCUUUGGACUGCUUUGAGCAAAAAUAGAAGAAAGGGGCUCAUUUUUUUCCAGUGAUUUUUUAUUUUUCAUCAAUAGUGCAGAUCCAAAUUUACAGGAACAUAACAUUUGAUGCCAAUGAAAUUCAUUAGAAUUCUGCGCUAUCCUGUGAACUGCGUGCCCAUCUGUCUUGUAUGUGUUUCCAGGGGUGGCUUACAAUGGUCUUCGCCAUGUACUGGAUGGACGUGUACUUAUUAUGAAUCCUCACACCCUGAGACCCAAGAGGAUCCCUCGUAAAACAAGGCCAUAUCUGAUUUGGAUUAAAAUCCCCACGGAGAACCUGAUGUCACCCAGGAAAGUGCACGUCUCCUUGCGUGCUCUUGAGAAACGGUUGAGAAAACAGUCCUUCCAGCUCAGUAAAUACCAUUUUCUUUCUGUCUGCUCACCACCCUUGCAUUUGCAAUAAACCUGACAAAAACUUCCAGAGCGAAAAUAAGAAUGUUCAUAUUUGAAGGAGAUGUUGGCAGACGGCCACAGACUUCAAGUACGCAAGCUCAUUCCGCUCUUGCUUUUCUGCCAAUAACUCCUUGGCCUCCGCGCACUCUGCACAGGCGGGGCCUGAGGACGGAUCAUGAUCGUGUCCGAUGAUCACGGACCCGCCGGAGACUCUCAAUGGAGAGGCGAUGAGUCACAGCCAAGCGAACUUUCUCUGCUCCUGAACAAAUUGCUUCUCCUCGUCGUCCCACUCCAAACCUAGAGGUGGGACAACCCCAGCAUCCUGGGCGUGAACGCACCCAGCUUGAUUGUCACAUGGGGAAUAGAGACCUCGCGCCUGCCUGGCAUAGGCCAACCCAGUAAUGUUCAUUUAAAGCUGGCUUUACUAGUCCUUCUUCCACAAUGAGAGGUGACCCUUCACUUCACCGAGAAAGGAAGGAAGAAAGCAUAAUAUUUCAUCGCGUGAAGAGGCCAUGAUUUCUCCGUUCCGCUGAGGAUCGAUUGAGCUGUUUCCAGUUUGGGGCGCGAUGAACAAUGCCGCAGUGAGGAUUCUUGUCAGUGCUGGCGUAUCUCAUGAUAGGGAGAAACAGGAAAACUUUGAAGAAUCUUCCAGAUUUGCCUAACGCAGAUGUGCAUGACCUGACAAGAUAGAUGUGCCAUUUGGACCCUUUCAAGAGCAGACAGAAUGGAAGGGAGGCUGGAGUGCAAUGGUGUGAUCUCUGCUCCUGCAACCUGCGCCUCCUGAGUUCAAGCGAUUCUCCUGCCUCAGCCUCCCAAGUUGCUGGGAUUACAGGGGCCCGCCACCACGCCCAGCUAAUUUUUGUUAUUUUCAGUAGAGAUGGGGUUUCAUCAUGUUGGCCAGGCUAGUCUUGAACUCCUGACCUCAGGCGAUCCGCCCGCCUCGGCCUCCCAAAGUGCUGGGAUUACAGGUGUGAGCCACUGCACCUGCCCAAGGACUAAGGUUUUCUAUUUCUUAUUGUGUCAGUUAGGUUGUAUUUUUCUGUGAAUCUGUUCAUUUCACCAAAUUUUCAAGUUUGUUGGCUUAAAGUUUUCGAUAAUAUACUCUUAUUUUGUGGUGAAGUCCCUUUUUUAUUUCUUGUAUUUGUUAUUUGUGCCUUCUUUUCUUUUUUUUUUUUCCUUUUCUUUUUUAUGAGAUAGAGUUUCACUCUUGUCGCCCAAGCUGGAGUGCAAUGGCGCGAUCUCAGCUCACUGAAACCUCUGCCUCCCGGGUUCAAGCGAUUCUCCUGCCUCAGCCUCCUGAGUGGCUGGGAUUAUAGGCACCCAUCACCACGCCCAGCUAAUUUUUUGUAUUUUUAGUAGAAAUGGGGUUUCACCAUGUUAGCCAGGCUGGUGCCAAACUCCUGAUUUCAGGUGAUCCGCCCGCCUCAGCCUCCCAAAGUGCUGGGAUUACAGGCGUGAGCCACCACGCCCAGCCUUUUCCUUUUCUAUUUUCUUUUUCUUUUCACAGAUGCCUUUUGUGAAAACUGUCAAAUUGUUUCCUUUUAAUCAUUCUCUUUAGGGAUUAACCAAUUUUAUUAGUGGUUUCAGUUUUGGCUUUGUUGAUUCUCUCCGUUGUGUGUUUGUUUUUAUACUUAUUAUACAUUGAAAUCAUUUCCUCCUGUCUACUUUAUUAUAUAUUUAAAUCAUUUCCUCCUGUCUAUUUUUGUUGGGUUUCUUUAGUUGUUCUUUUCCUGACAUCUUAAAAUGAAUGUGCUUAGCUCAUUAUAUUUUAAGUCUUUCUUCUUCCCUAAAAUAUGCAAUUAAGGCUAUAAAUUUCCCCCCAAACACUGCAUUAGCUUUACUCCAUAAGUUUUGUUGUAUUUUGUUUUUCAUUACAUAUAGUAUAGUUCAAAGUAAUUUCAAAUUUCCGUUUUUAUUUGUUCUGAAACCCAUGCAUUAUUUAGAAGUAUAUUUUAGAAGCACGUUACUCGAAAGUAUAGUUUUCAAAGGUACAGGGACUUUUUAAUAUUUUUAUUAUCGAUUCUUAAACUAUUUGCAAUAUGUUAGGAUAACAUUAUCUGCUGUAUUUUAAUCCUUUGAAAUGUGUUGAAACUUGCGUUUUGGCCCAGCAGAUCAUCGUAUUUUAAAAUGGAUGAUAUCUUUUUGAAAAUAACAUAUUUUUCACUUGUUGGGUGCACAGUUCUCCAUAUGUUCAUACAACAAGAUUGUUCAUUAUGAUGUCUCAAAUCUUCUACAGUGUUAUUGAUUUAUUGUCUGCCUGUUCCAUUGAUUACUGAAAAAGCUGUGUCAAACAUCCCACUAUGAAUAUGGACUUGUCUGUUUCUCCAUAUAAUUCUGUUCACAUUGCUCUAUGUAUCAUGUAAUUAGGUACAUACAAAUUUAAAAUAAUCUUUUAUUAUUAUAGGGUGACCCUCCUUAAUUCUAGAGACGCUUUUUUUUUUUUUUUUCAUUUUAAAGUACAUUUGCUUGACAUUGGAAUUUACUACACUGGCUGUCCUAAUAGUAUUUCAAUAGUGUAUACUUCUUUAUUAUUUUCCUUUCAGUCUUGCUUUAUCUCUAAGUAUUACACGUGUUUCUUGUAUUUAAUAUUUGUUGGAUUUGGUGUCUAUCCAGUAUGACAAUCUUUGUCUUUUAGCUGGAGCAUUUAACCCACUUACCAUUCAUGUAAUUACUGAUAUGCAGUUUGCCAUGAAUGGGCUUUCUAUUCAUC
rnacentral:lncRNA from 1 species